rnacentral:rRNA from 1 species
UACGUAGGGUGCAAGCGUUGUCCGGAAUUAUUGGGCGUAAAGGGCUCGUAGGCGGUCUGUCGCGUCGGGAGUGAAAACUCAGGGCUUAACCCUGAGCCUGCUUCCGAUACGGGCAGACUAGAGGUAUGCAGGGGAGAACGGAAUUCCUGGUGUAGCGGUGAAAUGCGCAGAUAUCAGGAGGAACACCGGUGGCGAAGGCGGUUCUCUGGGCAUUACCUGACGCUGAGACGCGAAAGCGUGGGGAGCAAACAGG